GUAGGUGAACCUGCGGAAGGAUCAUUAACACGUAUCCAAACGUAAACCCCCCCGUGAAUAUUAAUGGUUGCUCUCCUCUUUGGCCUGUGAUGGUCUUGCACUAUGCUGCGCGCCCCGCUGGUAUCUCACAUGUUUGUUAUGACUCAGCGUGCCGCGCAGUAGCGAGGUUAUCUCAGCACAAAUUGGAUAUGAUGCGGCACUGUUACAAGUACUGGCUCGGUUGCCCCUGUUCCUGGUCUGAAAGUGUCCG
rnacentral:misc_RNA from 1 species